GAAUUCACUAGUGAUUUACCUGAUAGCGGCCGCAGAGUUUGAUCCUGGCUCAGGAAAGUCGAAAACAAGGUAGCCCGUAGCGGCCCGCCGAUCCUAAAAUAAAAAUCCCCCGCGCCCCAUGGGGGGGCCAAAAACAUACCCAAACGCCCUAAAUCGGGGACACCCUGCGGGGAAAAAACCCUUUUCUACUUCCUAUUGGAGUCCUAUUCAAACCAAAUUUCAUCACUACUCAUACUAACUUUUCCACCUACCAAUCCUAAUCUGGCAAACUCCGUACCUCACAAUCACAAUAAAUAAUAACAUAGCACCAAUAAAACAACCCAUCCCUUUCCUUAAUAACUUCCAGACCCAUUAUUAACAUCUUUAUCGCCACAUGAUAACCUCAUACCUAACCAAUCUAUAUCAUAACACACAAUUAUUCCGCAUAACACACGAUACUAAACUUUAAUAACAUAUCCUACCUAACUCACCCAUAUAUUAUCACCAACCUGUCCAUCUACCAUUCAUAAAAACGCAAUAAAUAAAUUUCUAAAUAACCCUCUUACUAUUACUGUC
rnacentral:rRNA from 1 species